GAGCCAGGCAAAACCGGGAGUUACUAUCCUGGGGAGCGCGAGGGCCCUUCAAUCAGCCAGCCAAUGGCUAUGGAACCAUAUCAGGCCAGUGGGAGUGCGGGGAGGCUGAAGGGCGAGCUGGUCCCAGGAUGGUGGGGAUUUGCAGCCCCAGUUUCAGGCCUUGGGGGACCCUUGAGGGAGCUAAGGAGGACGCAGCGGUGUUUGGAAGCACACUCUUUCUGCUGCUCUUUGUGCUGGAGCCAUCCCGGCCAUCCCGGCUGGGGCCAUCCCGGCCAUGUAUCUGCAACAUCUACUCGCUGGCCGCCUCAGGCGAGCUGCCCUACGUCUGCAUGAGAAAGCAGAAUCAGGUGUACUGCCACAAAAAGCUCGUUGGACUACUGGCAGGGAGGGCCCCUGCCUUCCGGAGUGGACUUGACGCCUGCUUCUGGCUUCGGACAGGAGCUGCCAGGACCUUCUCCCCUUGCCCUCUCCCACAAAUGCUAGCGUGGCGCGGAGAAAUCCACUUCCUGCGUUGGGGAGGGAAGUCUUUGAGGCCUCGCCCCCAACAGGAAAACCCCCGCCUACUUGUGGUCGCCAAGCUCCCAACUCCCACGUGAAUCUGGAUUUAAACUUCCGGCCUCAGUGGGCGCAGCGGUCUUGCUUCCGCGCCUGCGCAUUGGUGCUCAGGCCACACCCGACGCCAUGUGUAGGCGCCGCCGCUAGCCUCAGGGACCCAGUCCUGGAUCCAGCUUCUUGGCCCUGCGGGGCUGCAUGCAGUCAUAGUCAGGUUUCACCCACAGCUUCUUGGGAAAAAUGAGGCGUCCGAAUUCUAGGAACAAAUUUAUGGUUACUAGGACGUUCUUGGAUGUUUGCAUUUGAGGUUUAGGUGUUUCCCGUGGGGAUUAGAACGCAGGUGAAGGCCCUUGGCCAGGAUGGGCUCUGGAAAAUAAUGGUGAAAGUGAAUGAAUUAAUCACUAAAAAUCGGUGCGGAGUCUUACAGCGCAGAGUGAGCAGUGUCGCCGUGACGGGCCGGGAGCAUCCGCAGCAAACACGGAGACUGCGCAGCUGUCGACCACCCUCCCUUCCAAGGUGCCCUCAGGCCUCCAUUCCUUGACACAUGGACCCCUCCACAGCCUGCUGUUGAAUUGAGUGGCCUCAUUUCAUGGCAUCUGGCUUCCCACGAAGGAGAGACUCAAGAGGGAGAGAAGUGUGAGCAGGUGCCACUGAGACUCUGAGAUGCCAGGACAUGGCUUAUCUCUUGCAACAUCAGGU